GCCAUACCAUGGUGAAUAUACCGGUUCUCGUUAGAUCUGCCGAAGUCAAGCAUCAUUUGCGCGGUCAGUACUUGGGUGAGUAACCAGCUGGGAACACCGCGUGCCGUU